ACCUGGCUGGCUCAGUCGGUAGAACAUGUGACUCCUGAUCUCGGGGUGUGAGUUCAAGCCCCAUGCUGGGCG
rnacentral:tRNA from 1 species